CCUACGGGAGGCUGCAGUGAGGAAUAUUGGUCAAUGGGCGCGAGCCUGAACCAGCCAAGUAGCGUGAAGGAUGACUGCCCUACGGGUUGUAAACCUCUUUUAUAAGGGAAUAAAGUGAGGCACGCGUGCCGCUUUGUAUGUACUUUAUGAAUAAGCAUCGGCUAACUCCGUGCCAGCAGCCGCGGUAAUACGGAGGAUCCGAGCGUUAUCCGGAUUUAUUGGGUUUAAAGGGUGCGUAGAUGGGUUGUUAAGUCAGCUGUGAAAGUUUGCGGCUCAACCGUCAAAUUGCAGUUGAUACUGGCAGUCUUGAGUAGAGUAGAGGUAGGCGGAAUUCGUGGUGUAGCGGUGAAAUGCAUAGAUAUCACGAAGAACUCCGAUUGCGAAGGCAGCUUAC
rnacentral:rRNA from 1 species